rnacentral:lncRNA from 1 species
UCUUUUUGACGUCAUGGGAGAAGAGAGGAGACGGAGGCGACGACCAUCGCCGCUGAAAAAAGGAAGGGGCUGAGAGAAUAGAGGAGGUAGGAAAGUAGGAGAGGAGGAAGAGGAGAAGAGGAAAAAAAAGAAAAAAGAGAAAAAAAAGAGGGAAAAGGAGAGGGGCAGUGAUGUCAUCCCUGUCACUGCCGACGGAAGAGAGGAGUCAGAAAUGAAGGAGCGGAAUAAGAGGAGGAAGAGAAGAGGAGAAGAAGAAGAAAAAAAAGAAGAAAAAAGAGAAAAAAGGGAGAGGGGUUGCCGCUGUCACUGUCGACGGAGAAGAGGAGAGGGGGAGAAAGAGAAGAGGAGGAGCUGAGGAGGACGAGGAGAAGAAAAAAAGGAGAAGAAAAGAAAAAAAGAAGGGAGAGAGUCGUAGCGGAUUAGGGGUGAC